UAAAAGAAAAUCAUGCCAAUUGUUUUGAGUACUUGAAAACCCACAGAACACUGACCUGUUCUGCAAUGGGAUACACUGAUUUAUUUGUGUCUUAGCUUUAAAACUAUUUCCUGAUUUUUAUCUUUAUUUUGUAAAAAUAUUAUCAAACCUAUCAUAUUCUAGAAUAGUGGUCUAAAAUUUUAUGGGUUAUAAUAGUGGUUUUGGAUGAUUACUCUGGAAAACUGCAAUAUUUAUACAGGGGAAUAGAACAGGAUGGUUAAGUUACAAUAACUUUCGAAAUUAGCUGCUAAAACUAUUUACAAAAUGCUUUUUUUUUUUUUUCAUUAUUGACUCACUUCAUACAGGCCUGCAGCGCCAUUGUGGUAGGGAAGAUGUGCAUGUAAUAGGAAUUCAUUUUUGCAAGCCGACAUGCACAGUCUGAAAAUAUUUUAUUCAUGCUCCUAGUGCCUUUGGUGUAGGGAUAUACUAUCUCCUCUUGGGAUGAUAACAUAUGUGCUGAUAGAGCUACAGCUCAAUUUGCAGUAAGCUUCCGCCUUCCGAAUGGUUUGCAAUAGGCGACAGUUCCAAGGGAACUAUUUUACCUCACUGCAUGUGCCUUUCAGUCAGCCUCAGUCAGAAUGUGCUGCUGCUGGUAGUGCAGAAAUGAGAAUUUGAGUGGGAGCACUUUAAAGCAGACACAGAGGUAUAAGACAGAUCACAGCUUCUCCUACAGCUGCCAGAAUAAUGUUAUGGUAUGAAACUUUUAGCAUACUGGAAAAAUCAUCUGGGGUAUGUCGAAGGAUUAUCCACUCCCACUUUCUACAUUCUGCACAGCAGUUUGCCUGAAUCAUUUCCUUGGGAAAAAUACAUCUUUCUUCUUCAGUCUCUUCAGACAGUUUAUUACAUGCAAAUACGAGUGAUCAGAAACCAGUCUGUACAUGAUUUGGAUAAUCUGAUAUAUGGAAAUAAUAUCCCCAAAAUCAGAAUGUCAUUU